rnacentral:lncRNA from 1 species
GUUCCUAUUUACUUACUAUGUAUAAACAGCCACUCACCAAGCCUCAUUUCUCCGCAGGGCACCACUUUCAGAUAAAAACAUAGACCUGAAUGGCAUCAUCCAGUAUCCAAGGAAACCAUUUCUUGCAGUACUCUGGGACAUAAUUCACCAUGGCCAGAAUGGAUUUGCUGUACGCAGGAGUCAUCCUUCUAACCUGCCAUGUCCAUAGGUCUCUAAGUCCACUGAUGACAGGAAAAUCUUCAGUGGUUCCAGAGACAAGCUGCUGGAAAUCCUGCACAUUUAUCUUCCAGGAGGAAGUGAGCUGGUUAGGAUAGAGGUCCCUUCUGGAAGAACCUCCCCCAAAACUUUAAAGGACUCCAAAUUAAGCCAGGUCCAUUUCUGGGACCCUAAAGUGGCUCAUGAAAGUCAGGGGCCACUUGAUUAAUGUUUGGUGAUUUCAAAAGCCUUAAGAUUCUAAGGGGAGAGUAAAGAUGGGGAAGGUGAGGCUGAAUAAAUUGUGAGAAUCUAUCAAAUAACAAGGCAUCUCUUUAAUUCCAAGCAUCAUGUUCUAUCUCACUUUGUAUCUUUCAGUUAAAAAAAGGAAAACGUGUCUUCUUUAAAAACAUAUUUUUCCUCUAUUAAUAUUCAGUACUUAAUAUAUGAAUACAGAUCCAUCAUUCUUUAGCUUUAGGUAGAUCACAACCUAAUUUACAAAUUCAAAAGCGUAAGUAAGAUCAACUCAAUUGCUCAAGGCCAUGUAUUUGCAAGCUAAGAGCAUGCAUUGAACAUUUCCUGUCCUUGGACUGGUGUACUGGGCAAUGCUGCUUUUCUCUAAGAAUUUGUUCAUCUAUUGGCUUUAACACAAUUUUGCUUAUCAGUUGAAAACGUUUAACCUAUACCCACUCAUGUAAUAUAAAGUAUAAAAUUAAAUCAAUGAUCUAGAAAAUUCAGGGCAAAGUAGUUUAAAUCAUUUUGAUCUUCCUAAAGAUUUUGAUUUUUUUUUAACCUGAAAAAAUAGGUGAUUACUCAAUAGCCUUAGCUCAAAAAUAUAUCUGACAGGUUAUUUUUAUUUGUUUGGUUUUCAGAAAUUAUAUUCGUGCUUUCUACCCUCUGUAGUUUUUAGCAAAAUGAAUCAAAGCCACUCUGUACCCAAAGAUAACACCACUGUUGUCUUUUUUUUUUUUUUUUUUUUAAACAUUGCAGGGCUUUACCUCGAGAGCUACGCAGUAAAUUUACAGGGAAAGAAAAAUUUUAUUAAAUUAUAACUGAGAGGAGCUGAUUUUUUUACAUAGCAAACAAAAAAUUCCUUCAUGAAAGGCUAUAA